rnacentral:lncRNA from 1 species
CCAUGCUGUUUCUGUUAGUGCCGCUUUUUGUUUUUUUCAAUGUGCUUUUCCAGAUUUGUUUAAAGGUUUCAUAUACAGCUCUUGUUUCUGCACGAUGGACAAGAACAUUUAAUUAGUUGAAUAGAUUUUCUGUCAUCAUUGAUUAUUAAAACAGACGAGCACUCAAGGACAAAUUACCUGGCACAAGUGGCAUAUCAUGAACAGUCUUAAUAUUGUUAUUUCCUGCUACCGUUCUUGAAGACUCGCUCGUGGCAAAGAACUUCUUGCUUUGGUAUAAUAGAGGAGCUGAAGGACUUCCUCUACUAUUCCUCCUUACAAACUCAUCAAUCCAUUUAUGCGAGUUCCCAUCCACC